rnacentral:tRNA from 1 species
GCGGAAAUAGCUCAACUGGCAGAGCGCGACCUUGCCAAGGUCGAGGCUGCGGGAUCGUACCCCGCUUUCCGCUCCA